rnacentral:lncRNA from 1 species
AUAAUACAUAUAUGUAUGUAUGCAUAUUAUGUAAAACUCUUGAACUAUUAUCUGGCAGUAGAAAAUUGAAGCCAAAGUUUUGAGAUGUUCAAAUCCCGCCAUUUUGGUUUUUUGCUCAAAUAUCGCUUCAUGAGAAUUUUUGUCAUCAUCCAGCGUCUCAUAAUUCUUAUAGACAACAUUUCUUAGGGAAUAAUAACAUAAUCGAAUAUUACUUCUGGAAGUGAGAGCCAGUGUGCCAAAUGUAUUUUUCCCCGUGUUUUCGUUUUCUGUAUUUUCGAAGAUCCGAGGUCAGGUAAAAAUGUUGCAGUUGAUAUUUGGAAUAUUUUAAUCGAUUCAAGUGAAAAUAGUCCAAGAAUCUAGGAGAUUCUUCCAAAUAAGGAUUGUUCAUCACGUAUGUUAGUCUUGGAUUAAAUAUUGAGGUAGAGCUCCAGAUUUUAGUGUUGGCCCCAGUUAGAAAUAUCAAAAUUCUUCAGACAAGACGUUUUCACUAUCAUUCAUAAUAUCAAAGUCAUUGUCUUCAAAACAAAUUCUCGGAAGGAAAUAUUUUUAUCGUACUUUGUAAAAGACAGACUACCGUUACGGGGGCCAUACUGAUGAGGGAUUUAAGUGCGUAGCCUCACGAUCAUAAAACUAUGCUUUCAAUCCGUAGACUGGGAGAUGUGUUGUGUCCUAGAGAAAACAGCUUUUUCAAGUUACCCCAGUUUAUUCAGAUGAAAAUGACUACGAAAUUAGUGUUGAUACCGCCGUCCCUCCAUGCAGUUUUCAUAUCUUCGAAGUUUUGCACAGUCAAACGGUGGAAAGGCCGAGAGGGCGUUUGUGCUAGUUUGCGACUACAUAGACACCUGAAACAUUUAGUGAAAUCAUAGUAAAGUCAUACUCACCUGCGGGUAGCGUUUAUGAAUUAAUUGGAUGGAUAAGGGAGAGUUUAUGUAACUUGGGAAACCAAAUCUCACACAAAGGAUUUUCGUUCAAAUUAUACAUUCGUCGGUUUGCUGAGAUGCUAUAUAUUUCGAAAUGAUAUACACACAAAUAAACACACUUGUACACAGACAGACAUGCAUAUGUACAUAUAUACGUUACACACACACAUAUAUAUAUACACCCACAUACAUAUAUAUGCACCCAUGCAUACAUGUAUGUAUGUAUGUAUGUAUGUAUGUAUGUAUGUAUGUGUGUGUAUGUGCAUGUACAGAGUUGUAAUUGAUACACCUUAGAGCUAGGGUAGGUGUUCAAGGUGUUCCACUUUGAAAGACAGAACAGAAAUUUUAUGUUUUCGCGUGAAAUGUUGAGUUCAACCCGUUCCCAGCCCGAAUUUAAACGCACUUGAAUUAGAGAGGAUGAAAGGCAAAUUCGACUACUGACAACAAAAAACAACAGCAAUGAUAUAUAUGUGUAUAUAUAUGUGUGUAUAUAUAUAUAUGUUCCGAGGAACUUUAUGCGUAAUAAAUACCAUGUUAUACGUAAAAUGUUAUCGGUAGACUAAGACUUAGUUUUUCAUCCGAAAUUAUUUCACUAGCUCUGCUAGUGCUUUUGGUAAAGAUCAUAUUUACGCUCUUUCAUAUUCUGGCGUCAAUUCAUGUGAUAUAUUAUAGAUGGAUAUUUCUAAUUAUGUUUGAGUAACAUACUUGAUUAUAGUCAUUGCAACUGUGUGACAUAUACUGUAUAUGAAAGCCUGGGGGAUCAGUGAACAAUUAUCUUAGUUGUCCAACAGAUGUAUGUAUCCGUUUGCAAAGGAAAGGUUCUAAAGUGAUUAUCCGCUAUAAUUAACAGCUAUAAGUGGAUGCUUAUUGAACCAGUGCGUGCGUUUAUUUAAUUUUUUGUUGGCAUAAUGAUUCACCCUUAAAUAGAUAGAUAGAUAGAUAGAUAGAUAGAUAGAUAGAUAGAUAGAUAGAUAGAUAGAUAGAUAGAUAGAUAGAUAGAUAGAUAGAUAGAUAUAGAAAGGGCUAUCGUGUCAUGCUGAUGCGUCCGAAGUAUUACGUUUAGAGUACAAAUGUGUGUGGAAUAGUCAAUCACGCUAUGAUUCAAGAAGCAAAUAAUAUCUUCCUAUAAUUAAACGUCGGGAAAGUGCAUCUGUGAAGAUAAUGGCUGUUUCAAUUACUUCUAAAUGUUAUUGUCAUUGGAACAUCAAUAAAUAUUGACGAUAUUCUAUAAUUUACUAAUAAUUUAUCAUAAUUUACUACUACUUUGUAAAUUCAUUGUUAAUUGCUUCUCGUUUUGCAUGGAGAGCGAUCAUUAUCUCAAAUGAGUGGCGAGCUGGCAGAAACGUUAGCACGCCGGGCAAAAUGCUUAGCGAAUAAUUCGUCUGUCUUUAAGUUCUGAGUUCAAAUUCCACCGAAGUCGACUUUGCCUUUCAUCCUUUCGGGGUCGAUAAAUUAAGUAUCAGUUGCGUACUGGGGUCGAUCUAGUCGACUGGCCCCCUCCCUAAAAAUUUCGAGCCUUGUGCCUAGAGUAGAAAAGAAUUUAUCUUUAGAUAACACAUGGAGUUUCAGAAUUUACAACAGUAAAUUUGAUUCAGAAAUUAUAAUGAUAAAGAUAGGAAGAUAUUCUAUAGAUUUAGUUGCAUCAUGCUGGACUUUUGUUUUAUCCAAGGCAUAGUAAUUUGAUUUGAGCUAACGAAAUAUUUAUCGUUAUGAUAAUGUUUCAACAAAACGUGAUAAAUUAUCCUUAAAACAUGUUAGUUGUGUCGUUGUACUCGUUAGAGAAAUUCAUUUAUAGUAGUCGUAAAAUGAUAUUAAGUUUGCAUUUUCUAUUCUGAAUUUAAUGCAGUUCUUUACUUGUUAGCAAAAGAAUCUUAAGAAUGUCCCUACUCUUCUUAUCCAGACAGAAUUCUACUAUUUAAGAUUUUUAUCUUAUAAUCUUAUCAGAGCUCAUUACUCACGCGGAGUUAACUAUUUCAUCAGCAACUGAACUAUUGUUUAUAUAGAACAUGCUUCAUCAGUUUAAACAGUAACGUGGAAGGAAUCGUUUUGUUAUAGCAAUAUGUUUGGUCAGAGAUUCAACAAAGAAUCUCGAUAACAGCACUAGCACUAAGGUUUAUAAACAGUACUGUUGUUACAAAGUAAAUAUUUUUCCAGUAGACGCUUUAGUGUUUUCUUACAAAUCUUCUUUCUAAACGUACCUCAAAUUUUCAGACGCUAAAAAUCGGUUUUCACUAUUUUAUAUCGAGCUUCAAUACAGAAAUGUCAAGAAAUUUACUCCCUCGUUAAUGCAUACAUGCAAUAUAAUAAGAACAUUUCUAUAUUUAUUUAACUUUUAAGUCUAUGAGCCAAUAAGAAGUCAUCUAUAUCUACAUCCUAUCUCAUCACACUAGAAAUAGCAGCCAUACGUUCCUUACAUUACAAGCAAUAUUAGUGUUAUAAAAUUACUGCAUUAACGAUUGGAGAAAGCUAAACCUGAUACUGAAUUAGAACUUAGAAGUCAAAGACAUCCGUUAAACUACCGACAAUCAACAUCCAUUGUCUGCUUCUCAGAGAUGGGAUUUAGCUACGCAGUGGAAUAACUCUACAGCACGACAGUAUAUAUUUUAUUUGAUUCGCAUCAAGCAAAACGUUACAACUUGUUGAUCCAGUCUAGUAAAAUUAUUUUAACAUACUUUUCUGCGAUGGUAAUUGUAAAAAUUUUCAUUUGUGUCUUUGUUUAAAAUAGUUCGUACUAAUACUAAAAUGUUUGGACUACUGUGCUCAUUAAAACCAGCCAUUUUAUUCAAAAUAACGUCUAAUGCACUUAAGGGACAAAACCCCAUGCAAACUGAACUUAUUUUAUCAAUAUGCUAAAGUACUUUACAACCACCAAAGACGGACAAUUUACGAAGGUAUGUGAGUAAGUGAGAAUGUGAUACGACAGGGUAGAAAAUAUACGAAUAAAAAGGAAUAAACUACACAAAGUUAUAAAUGUUUUGUUAGAAAAUAGAGAGUGUGAAAGAGAGACAAAAAUAUGUUGAAAUAUGUUGAAAGAAACGUAAAGAAAAAUUUGUGACAGUAAGACAGAGUGACACUUAAGAAGAGUAAAAGUCUAGAAGUGGUGUAUUUAUAAGCAUCAAUAUUGGUUUAGUAAUUAAAUAUAUCUGUGCAUUCGCUACGUAUAAUUCUGCAAGUAUAUACACACGUAUAUCAAAUAUGUAUAUACAUACACAGACACGUUUAUAUGUGUGUGUGUAUGUGUGUGUAGUGAUUUCAUGUUAGUUCACUUGCGAUGAUAGAUGCGAGAUUACAUAUUUAUAUAAAAAACAUUUAUAUGUUUUUUUCAGAUUGUUGAGACGGUGCCAAGCAGUGUAACGUUUCUUGAAUUGUCUGUUAUCAACAAAAGAAAAUAUUUUGAUUGGUUUCAAGCAUAUAACACUAUUGCAAGAGAGUAUACGGUGUUCAAAUCAUGAAACAUUGAGAAAGUUUUUAACAAAAAUGUUAAAGAGUAUAAAGUUUAAUAAUCUUAAGAUUAUGAGUUCUUUAUGCGAACACGUCAUGCUUUGUUCCAUACACAUAUAUCAACUCUUAUUUUAACAAUAUUUGUGAUUGAGACUAAGUUCUCUUGUUGCAUCUUCUCUUUAGUUGACUAUCAGUAUGUACUUUUCCCUGCACUCUUAUAUCAAUAACACUCUGAAAGAAAAAGCUAACUACCGCAACAUAACUUGUAUGAUUUAUGUAUUUAAGUGCGUGUAUGGAUGUUCUUGUGUAUUUGUGUAUUUUACUGAGUUUUCAAUCUUAUGAAGAAAUGAGAUACUUUCUAAGAAACAAGGCACUCCUUUAUUGGAAAUCAAAUAACAAAAUAUGUACUACUUCUUAAUUUUUUUUUUACUUUUUUUCAAAUCUUGCAUAUUUUCACUGUUAUGCUUACUGAAUAUGCAUCAUACCUAUUACAUGGUAGUUUUCUUUGCCUAAAUAUGCCAUCUUUCCUUCAGCAUUACUAAAGCACUUAUUCAAAUGUUCUGAGGAUCAAGGGUAUAGGGGUAUAUGUAUAAGUGGUAAAGUCAAUUUAUAGACUUCAAAGUCGCUCAUCAUAAAUGUUAUUUCUUCACACUAUUUUGAUUGAAAUGUACACAUCAACUAGCUGAAGGCAUCCACAAAAGUAGACAGCUUUUAUUGUUAUUUCAUUGUACCUUUUCUUGGCCCAAACGAAUCUACGAGGCCAGUUGUAUGUUUACUAGACGUUUUGAUUGGAAUACUUAACUAAUUUCUUGAGGGUGAAUGUAUGAAUAUAAUCUACAUGAAUAUGUAUACUCAUACGCUUAUAUAUAUAUAUAUAUAUAUAUAUAUAUAUAUAUAUAUAUAUAUAUAUAUAUAUAAUUUUAUAUUGCUUUUGGCCAAAUGCCAUGCCGCACAGGAAAAUAACAUCUUAUUGAUAUAUUGGCACUGCAGCUGUUUACGUGAAUAAUAUAUUCGAUGCAUUACCGGCAUUAUCAACAUACUAGUCGGAUUUUGGAAGCUUAACUGCCUCAGUAUCACCUGUUACGCAAAUAUCUAAUACCCCUAACUUGCUCUAGAAUUUCAAAUAUAUAAUCUUUGAAACGUGCGAUGAUGUAACAGUCACAACUUCAAGAAAGGUUAUACAUUUUGCUGAUAUUGGUAUCACCUAAAUUUUCCGGAACUCCGAACUUUUUGAGGAUUUCAGUUCCGACUCGUAAGGUGUUUUAUCCCAACUUUUGAAAACCUCAUGACAAAUUUUGAAUGAUUAUUCCUAUCGGUUGAGCAACUUCUGUACACAACUGUCUCAAACAAUUGUAUCAAAUCUGUUGUGUUUACAAUUUGCCAGAGGAUGUAAUGCGAUUGUUCCGCCAAUGUUUGUGUAAGUUUAGUCGGCAAGCUGAUUGAAUCGAUAGAUCGAUUCAUGCAUGUAAUUAAGUACAUAUGCUUUUCUUUGAGAUUUAAUUUCAAUUUCGCAGAAUUCAUAGCGCUGACUUGCAAAAUUGACGAGACUCUUGGAUAUAUGUUUGUGUUUAGGCUUGAUAUUCAGUUUCCUAAUAUUAGCAAACAGCACAAUGUCAUCGGUAAAUAGAAUCAACUCACUUCAUUUACCACUAUGUAAUCCUUUCAGGAAAGAAUGAAUAUCACAGUAUCUCAUUUCAACUUAAGAGAGAAUAAGUAUUUUCCAUGCUUUGUCAUAAAUCUUUUGUCAUAUUGUAUAAGUGAAUCGAAAUUGCUGAUAUAUUUCUUAAGUAAUUAAAAGUAGAGAUGCCAAUGUCUAUAGGAUGAUUCAAAAUCGUGGGAUGAGAAUUGCUAAAUCUAAAG